rnacentral:rRNA from 1 species
AUUGAACGCUGGCGGAAUGCUUUACACAUGCAAGUCGAACGGCAGCACGGGGCAACCUGGUGGCGAGUGGCGAACGGGUGAGUAAUACAUCGGAACGUGCCCAAUCGUGGGGGAUAACAUAGCGAAAGUUACGCUAAUACCGCAUACGAUCUACGGAUGAAAGCGGGGGAUCGCAAGACCUCGCGCGAAUGGAGCGGCCGAUGUCAGAUUAGGUAGUUGGUGGGGUAAAGGCUCACCAAGCCAAUGAUCUGUAGCUGGUCUGAGAGGACGACCAGCCACACUGGAACUGAGACACGGUCCAGACUCCUACGGGAGGCAGCAGUGGGGAAUUUUGGACAAUGGGCGCAAGCCUGAUCCAGCCAUUCCGCGUGCAGGAUGAAGGCCUCGGUUGUAAC